rnacentral:lncRNA from 1 species
GUUAGUUAGUUAAAUAUCUGUUGUUGUUUGCUUUAAGUUGUCUAUGACAACAUGUGUGUACAGUGAAUUGAACCUUGGUAGGAAUAGAGUUUUCUGAGAAUAGUGAAGAGCUUGGUCCUGGUAUUUUUAAUAGGGCAUGCUCAUAUAAGUUUAUAAUGGUGUUAGAGUGGAAAACUCUUGAAGGUUUCUUUGUCUUAUGUUUCAGUGAAAUGAAAAACUCUUUAAGGUUUCUUUGUCUUAUGUUUCAGUGAAAUGAAAAACUCUAUUGUUUUGGAAUGAUCUAAUGUUGUUUAUAGAGAAAUUCUGAUAUGCUUCUAUUUUCUUUUUAUAUUGAUUGUUCUUUCUUCAACAUUUAUUAAUUAAUUUUAGCUAAUUUAUUUUAGAGUAAAUUACACUAACACCUUCCGAGUUUUAGUGAAAUUAUACAAAUCAUCUCUCCAUUAUUUGCACAUACAAAAAAUCUCAUAGUUUUUAUACAUAUCUUACAAUGACUACCCGUCUAUGAAAAAUAAGUGUGAUUUUUUAACAAAAAGGGUGAUAACUGCAAUUAAGUUAUACAAAAUAUAGUAUAUUGUGGAAACAAGUAUAAAUAACAUUCGAGUCAAUACAUUUUCAUUAUUUUUUGUUCAUUAGAGUGUGGUAUAAGAGUGAUUUAAAUAUGUUCUUAGAAUUAUUUAUGCAUAUUAUAUCGACUCGUAUAAUAUUUGGAUAUGUCUUCAUAAUAUAUCAUAUUUUGUUUAAUUUAAUUACAUUUAUCAUUCUUUUUGUUUAAAAAAUCAUACUUAUCAUGCAAGGGUAGUUAGUGUAAUGUAUGUAUAAAAAUCAGGGUUUUUUAUAGGUGCAAAAAAUGGAGGAUAAUCUGUAUAAUUUCACUAAAACUCAGGGAGUGUUAUUGUAAUUUACUCUUUAUUUUAUUAUCAACACCUACACUUUAACUUUGCUAAUUUCUCAAGAGGGUCCAUGCAUUGUUAAAGCAUAACAUGAAAUCAGAAACAUCUAGAGUAUGUUGUUGUUUUCUCAAAGCAAUCAUGUAAGAAUUUAGAAAUGCAUCAAGUUGAGAAAUGAGUAGACAAGAUCUAGAAGUGCAUUUUUUAGUAGGAAGAUCUUAAAAGUAUGUAUAGAAUUGUCCAAAUGUACCUAUAAAUACCCUCAUGCUCUCUGAAGUACGGAUUCGUCAAACACUCUCACGUAUCAGUAUCCGACGCGUAUCCGACACGGAUUCGCUCGGAUUCGCGAAGAAUAUGUAUUCGUAGAGUAUCCAAAAAUUAAAAAAAUAAAAUAAAUAUCAAGACACGUAUCCGAUUCGUUGGUAGUGGGCACCAAAUAAGUUGUGAGUUUUCUCUUUAUAAAACUCUUUUCUUCUUCCAACAAAGUGGUAUCAUGAGCUAGGUUUCAAGGCCAAAACAUCUUUGAGGAAUGAAGGGACAAAUAUACAGAAGAACAUAUACAUAUACAUACAUCUAUUAGGAGGGAUCAAUUUCCACCCAAGUUAAGUUACACUUAAUUUUAGGCAUUCAUUUUCUUAGAUCCAACGAACCAAAUGGGUGAAACUUAAGAAGUUAUUUAAGAUUUCUAUUUUUCUCUCUCAUCACUUAUUGCAUUCACUCAUUUGGUCUAUUGGAUCUAAGAAAAUAAAUGGCUGAAGUUGAGUGUAACUAAUGUAACUUAAAUGUAUAUACGCCGACUCUCUUAGAAAUGUAUAUCAUGAACUCACAUGCCUGUGAUCCCUGCAGUGUCCUAUUUGAUAUGACACUUGCUUCAUUCUAAAUGACAUACCUACAGCACAAUUUUGAUUGCAUUAUUUUCAUACAGAGAGAUCACUAGUAGUCACAAAAACAAAGAUAGACAUGAACAAAAAGUAUGUCAGAACCGACCAUCAUUUAGUGUCAAUUCGACUUGGAACUAAUCUUCCGUGAUUGCAAAUAUAAUCUUUUCGAAGGAAAUAACAUAAACUUUCGAGUCCUGUUAUUCGAACAUCCUAUUUGACAUCGCUUACAUUCAUUUAUAUCUCUCGCUUACUUUUUAUAUUCUUUAUAUACACUUACUAAAACAAAACAUCGAAAAUAUGAUAUUUCAAAAGUACAUCAUUGUAUUUGAUGUUGAAGAAGCAUAAGGAAAGAGAUCUAACUUCAAAGUAAAACCUUUUCUGUAAAUGCAUAACAAACAGUGUUCUUAACCAUGCCUUAGAUUUUGAAAUAUGACUUACGGAUUGCUCGAUAAUAACGAUGUUAAAUGCAGGGUUCAUUGCAGCAGCAUGUGGAAAACUGGAUAAUCUCUUACAACACUCUUCAAAUGUUGAAAGUAAUGGUCUCUCAAAAGCAGUAGGCACCGGUGUCUCGGCCGUAAAAACCCACAAUAAGAAAACUGCAAUGAAGCCAGCUUAUCGGCCGGAAUAUGUUUAUGGCAGCUGCAAUGGAUAUCAUUACUAAAUGUUGCUGGUUUUUGUUUAUCUUAGAAUUUUCAGGUUAGUUAGUUAGUUAAAUAUCUGUUGUUGUUUGCUUUAAGUUGUCUAUGACAACAUGUGUGUACAGUGAAUUGAACCUUGGUAGGAAUAGAGUUUUCUGAGAAUAGUGAAGAGCUUGGUCCUGGUAUUUUUAAUAGGGCAUGCUCAUAUAAGUUUAUAAUGGUGUUAGAGUGGAAAACUCUUGAAGGUUUCUUUGUCUUAUGUUUCAGUGAAAUGAAAAACUCUUUAAGGUUUCUUUGUCUUAUGUUUCAGUG